rnacentral:rRNA from 1 species
UGGGGAAUAUUGGACAAUGGGCGCAAGCCUGAUCCAGCCAUGCCGCGUGUGUGAAGAAGGCCUUUUGGUCGUAAAGCACUUUAAGCGAGGAGGAGGCUACUUGGAUUAAUACUCUAAGAUAGUGGACGUUACUCGCAGAAUAAGCACCGGCUAACUCUGUGCCAGCAGCCGCGGUAAUACAGAGGGUGCGAGCGUUAAUCGGAUUUACUGGGCGUAAAGCGUGCGUAGGCGGCUUCUUAAGUCGGAUGUGAAAUCCCUGAGCUUAACUUAGGAAUUGCAUUCGAUACUGGGAAGCUAGAGUAUGGGAGAGGAUGGUAGAAUUCCAGGUGUAGCGGUGAAAUGCGUAGAGAUCUGGAGGAAUACCGAUGGCGAAGGCAGCCAUCUGGCCUAAUACUGACGCUGAGGUACGAAAGCAUGGGGAGCAAACAGG